CAGAGGGUGGGGGGGAGCACAUGGGCUGGAAGAGAAAAGGAAAUGGUGCAGAGAAACCAUCAGCCCAACUUUGGAGGGACUUUUGGCCUCAAGCCCUGGGAUCCUAAAGCCUGGUAAGUCAGGAUGGAGAUGCUAAUCCACAAUUACAGAGGAAUUGGGCUGCACUCAGCAGGGAAGGAACCUCCAUCCUGGGACGAGGGAGCGAGUUCUGGGGAAUGCUGUCCUGGGGCAGGAUGGCCAGGCAGCUUGGGGAAUUCGCAGCUUGGGUCUCUGGAACCAAGCUCAGUGGGCAAUGGGAGGGCUGAGGACUCCUGACCCCAGCCCUGGCUGCCUGCUCCGGCACCCAGCCCUUGGCAGGGUGCAAGCUGGCACCUGCCCACGCUCCAAGGCCUGCCCAGGCCUGCUCCCAUCUUCUGCAAUAAUCUGCUUUUUAUGAUGUGAUUGGCAGCCACUUACAGCCUCAGCUCCUCAGUGUUUCUGCAGCUUUAUAAUGAGGUCUUAGGGAGGGAGUUGCAGGCAGUAAUUAUUGCAUGAACGGCACUAGAAGAGCAAUCAUUUGAUGGCAUCGUAAAUGAAGUACUGCCCCAUAAAUGUGGCAAAGUGAUUGUGCAGCUCUAAAAGGCUGAAGGAUGGGCAGGCACCAUGGAUGAGACUCGCUGCAUUGUGGCUGCUGACACCCCGAUGGCAUCUGGUGGGUUGGGCACCAGGCCCUCUGCCAGCAAAGCCCUCGGGUGCAGAGAAGGGACCCUGGCUCCAUGGGAGGGGCUGGGAGUUUGGAAUUGCCAUGGAGCCAGCCAUGGCACUCUGUGAGGGUGCCAAGGACCCCGCUGGCCCCAGUGAGAGCAGCCUGCACCCACCCUGGGACCGGCUGUCCUGGCACAGAGGACAGAGCACAGGCUGGGGCCUGGUGCCAGGGACUGUGCCCAGGCAAUGCCAGGGAGGAGCUUCAGUUUCAUCUGUGGGCAGAGGAAGGAGAGGAGCCAGGCUGCUCCCAGAGCAGCCUCUGCCGGCCGCGGAGCUCCCAGGCAGCACCAGCAGGCUGUGCACGCUGCCUUCCACGUCCUGCCCUCGGCCCAGCUGCCCCCUCAGGCAAGGUCCCUGUGCCCCCCUGCAGUCCUGAUGGGCCCCUCUGGCCGCAGACUCUUCUGCACCCACACCUGCUCCCCCUUAUCUUGUGCCCAAAGCUGUGCUCUUACCUUGUUGGCGGGCCUCCAGCUCCUUCAUUUCCAGGUCAUGGGUGAGCUCUGGAAGAGAAAUCCAGCAGGACUGAGGAGUGUCCCACCCAUUCUGUGCUCCCCAUGUCUUCCUCUGCUCCCUUUGGGGCACUGGACAUCACUGUGGCUGUAGUGAUAUCUCUGCCCAGCCUUCAUGGGAGUGUGGCCAUCUAGGAGCACCAGCCACAGGCUGAGAUAAAAAUAGGCAAUUCUGGCAAUUUAUAUGUUAUUAAGGAGCCUCAUGGCCGAGACAUUGUCCAUGGGAUGCUCCUGUGCCUUCCCUUUUUCUAAAAGAGUUGCUGAACCAUUUUCAGUGCUGUAAACCAGGACAAAGAGCAGAGCAAUGGAUUGAAAAUAGACCAAAGUGUAAGCUGCCACCCAAAGCAUUUCAUAAUUUACUGCUCCAGGCUGAUCACUGCCUCUACACGUGACACAAGCAGGGACAGCCUCGUCCCAGCACGAUGUGCCUGCAGAAGGAUGCUGCCCUGCUCCAGGGCAACAUGGAGCAUCCAAAUCCCUUCCAGAUCUCAGGAGCUGCAGCACCUACCUGCCUGCUCAGCCCCAACAUGCUGCCUCCUCUCUGCUGCCCUUUGCCUGCUUGCUGCCUAGCCCCAGGCUAUAGCACCAGGUCACAAAGUGCAGCUCAGAGACCUUCUGGAGUUCACUUUACCCUGCACUCUUACAGACAGUCCCUUUUGAAUUAAUUAUCACAGCCCACCCAACCACUAACAGCCCUGAGCAGAGGAAGAGAGUACUAGCAGCAGCAUUCAGCUGUUUGGAGGCUAUUUUUUCCCCGGAAAAUGAGUUCAAAUGGUUAAUCUUUGCCCUACAUUUUUCUUUUAAUCUGCUUUUGUGUUGACUCUAAUCCUCAUCACUGCCAUCCUUCUGAAACCAAAUGCUUGUCUCAGGCUGCUCUGCCUGUCUGUCUUGGAAAACAAAUCUGUAGUGAGGAGGCAGAAGUACCUGAGACCGUAAUGCAGUUUCUGGAAAGCGUUCAGCACUCUUGACUGCCCUGGUGGGAAUCAAUGGCCAUUGUUGUGCUGUUUUUCUGAAGCUAAAAUAAUAGGUUUGGAGUCUCAGAUAUAUUUCAAAUGAAAACCAAAGCAGUUGCCUAUUUCCAAAGACAUCACCCUGCUGAGCAAGUGACGGGCUGAUACACAGCCUGGGGUCCCAGUUUCUGUGCUGGACCUGGGGUGCGGGUGCUGAUCUGCCUCAGUACCAUCCCCAUGACCCCUGAGAGGCAGCUGAGAACCACCUCUGUGGGAGGGAGAGCCUUUCCCACAGGGGUACCUCAAAUAGACCAAGAGGAAAGUGAAAAAGUCUGAAACAACAGUGCCAAGGCAGCAGGCAAGGGUCCAAAGGGCCACAUUGAAGAAAAACUGACUUUAAGACUCUACUCUCCUCCUGCAAACAGCUCCCCAGAUAACAACACUCAAAUUCAAGAAAGGCUCCUUAAAACUGCCCAGAGGUUUCCUGGCACUCCUGGCAGAAGCACACACCUCACCCAUGAGGACAGGAACUCUCUGGUCAGGAACCCAGGAGAAUGGGAGGCUGGAAGACGAGGAGUAAUUAGCUAUGGCUGAAUUAUUGAUGAGAGCAGCAGCACAAGCUGGAAUGAGUGGCAGUGGUGGCAGAAGGCUGGGCAACCAUCACUGCUGCAGGGGUGGCUGGAGGGGAGUGCAACCCUGCUGCAGCAGGGGGCAGCUGUGCAGGGCGCCGAGCCUCGCGCUGCAGCCUGGCACUCGCCUCCUCUGCAACCUGCCGAGCACCUCUGUGAGCACCCCGGGCUGCCAGCAGGAACCUUCCUGCCCAAGGAGCUCCGUGAGCACUCAGCCCCCACCCACUGCGGCCGCCCCAGCGCUCACCUGAGCAGUGCUUCUGCAAGCGGAGGAUCUCCAGGUGCAGGUCAUGGAGCAGCUCCAUCUGCUCCUUCUUCAGGAAAGCGAUGUGCCGCUGCACACUCUGGAUCUGGUGCUCCAGGGACACGGUCUCCAUCGCAACCAAAUUCACAGUCCAGGCCUGCAGGGAGUGGAGAUGGCUGGUGAUCAAAUGUGCAGCAGUGCGCUGGGCUUGCGAGCCCCAGCCCUGGAGCCCUUGUGAGGGGCAGGCCCCUCACAGAGGUGCAGGGUGGUGCCUUCUCUCCUCAACCCUCUCCACGGGGACUGUGGCUGUGGGCAAAGCCAGCCCUGCUCAGCUGAUGGCCAGGGAAUGGCCUCAGCCCUCUCACCUUCCAGUGCCUCUGGGGCCAGCUCCUGUCCUGCCUGCUCUGAGACUGCACAGGCAGGAUAAUCCUGCUGCAUGAACCCUGGCAUCAUAGCAUGCAUGUCUGUUCCGAAUUUGGCCCUAGGAAAUACUUUAUCACUGAGUAGGAUGCAUCUGGGACAAGAUUGCUCCUCGUCGUCCCCAGGUGGGAGUUGCACCAGAGACGAUUUUGGCUCUCACUUGACAAGCCCCACGUUACACAGCAGCAACUGCAGCGAGCGAUCCAGCACAUGAAAAAUACAAUAUGCUCUGUCUAACCCGAUCAGCACUGCAUGGCUAGGAGAGUCACGUUGUCUUCCAGGAGAAGUAACAUCUUCCCUGGUAAUUUGCCUGGCAGACAAGAGCUGCUGGCAGGCUGUGCCAGGCAGCCGAGCUGGCUGGGCUGGGGGUCCAUCCCCACAUCAUCAACAGCCAUGGCAAAGCAGCUGCAAAAGCUGCCCACCUGUGCUGCUGCACAGAGAGAUAAAAAUAGCCCCUGAAAGAGCCCUUUAUCCCAGGAAAUACCAUUUUGUGGUGUGUGGAAUCUGUCUUUGCUCCCUACACACAGCCCAGAGGGAGGGAAGCUGCAGCAAAUCAAGGUAACCUGGCAGAGUGGCUGGACUCAAUGACCUGAGAGGUUUUUCCAACCUAAAUGAUUCUAUGGGGAAAUGCUGUGCCACAAGCCUGAGGGGUGGAGUGCAUCAUCCUGUCCCUGGGCAACUGCUUCCACAUCUGACUCCAGUGUUCUCUGUACAGAAACUGCAGAACCAAGGGAGCACUGUGGCUCACUGUUCCAGCACGCCUGGCAUGGUCACAUAGGGCAUUUUGCAAUUCCUGCACUGGAAUGCAUUUAAGAUCAAUCCCUCAGUAAGUGGUCUUGGCAGUGCCCCAAGGUCAAAGCUUUGUUCCUGCCAAAGGCUCUGUAGAUUUGUGACAACUCUACAGUCAGGUCUCCUGUAUUUGAUGAGGUGUGGGGUGCAGGCUGGGGGCAGCUGAGCACCCAGCCUGCUGGUAAAGAAAUGAUCCAAAAUGCAUUGUUCUGUAGUUGUCCUUAUGGAAGGUGUCAAACCCAGCUGUGCCAGGGGGCUGGGUCUGGCCAGGCCAUCUUCCUCGGAGGGCCAUAUGUCCUGAUGCCAGUGCAAGAGUUAUGGGAGUUAUCUGGCAUCUGCCAGAGACCAGGAAUGCAAACCACACCAUGGGUACAUCCUCCUGGCAGCCUUGGCCAUGGUGGGCUGAGCUUCUUGAUGGGAGUUGUGUUCCCCAUCUCAGGAAACAUCAGAAAGUAGGUUGGCCAAAGCCCAGGGGACACGUACUUCUAUUUUCAAGCACUUUGUGCUGUCUAGUAGAAAUGUCUUUAGUAGAAAUGGCUGCAAAUUUUCCAUUGAACUUUCCCUUCUCCCCUUAAGUAGGAAAUUGCUCUUUUUUUUUUUUUUUAACCAAUGAAAAUGUUUUCCUUUAAAAAUAGUUGAUAGAUUUCAAGCUGCAAAAAAGUCAAAGAAAAAAAAUCUGGACUUGAGAUCUGUUUGUUGUCUCUGAUUUGGAAGCAAAGAGCCGUCAUAAUUUACCUGUGUAUGCGGGAAGAGAAGUCUGUCUCCAGAAUUGCAAUGGGAAAUCCUUAGUGGGUUUGAAUUCCCUGUGCUGAUACUUCAGAACACCCACAGUGGUGAUGACCAAAAGCCUGUGCAGUGAACCACAGCAGGAACUUUCCCCCUGUGCCACAAGCAGGAGAGCCAAAGCAUGGUGAGUGGGCUGCCCUUGCCACCGCUCCUCCUGCCCCAGCUGGGUGAGUGGCUCCCAAAAGGAUGGUUGUACUGCAGCGAGUAGGGACAUGGUUGGUACCCCCACUCUGAUCCCUCCCUUGCUGCUGUAGCCAUUACUUCUCCUUCCCAGACUAGUUCUAGGAUCCCAAGGCAGCUGGUGGUGGAAGUUCUCACAGUGACUGUACUCUGUGAUUUUGACGAGUUAUGUAUACAAUGUCAUUCAUAAUAAAAGCCAAGAGUAAGUGA